rnacentral:lncRNA from 1 species
AUAUACUAUUUUUCAUGGCAAAUUCAGACUUUCAACUUAUUGGAGGGUGAAAUAAGUCUUGGUGAAGUAACUUGAGAUUAUAAUCAUUUUAAGUGUAUUAUAACAGUGCUUUGCCCAUAAGAGAGGUGUGCAAUGAAUAGUUGUGGUUCUCGUGUGUUGCUGAGUUGAGUACUUUUCUACAUUGUAAAUAAUAGAUUUACCAUUGAACUUUAGGAAAUACAUAAGUUGAAGGUUUUCUGUAUCAUAUUCUCUAGAAUAACUUUCUCCUCCCUGUAAAACUGCCAAACCUGCACUUCUAUAAGAGUCAUCCAGGAUCAAAAGUUUCUCCAGAAAUAUAUACCAUGGAGAGUGCCUACUCCCACUACAGAUUUCAUUUUCAGCUCAUCGGCUAUUGUUAGUAUAUUGUAUGUGUGGCCCAAGACAAUUCUUCUUCCACUGUGGCCCAGGGAAGCCAAAAGAUUGGACACCCCUGGUUUAUAAUGAUCAGAAAGAUGGGCUGUUUUUUUUUAAGGUAAUAAUUUAAACACAAUGAAAUGUGUAGGUCUUAAGUGUACAAAGUAUACAAAUACACACGUGUGUGUGUGUUUUAAAUCGGGCAGCUCUGAGAGUCACAGGUGAUUCUGAAAGACUCCCCAGAGUGUUUUGAUUAAUAUAUACACCUGUGAAACUAUCACUCCAUCAUGAUAUAGAACAUUUCAGUCAUCCCAGAAAUUUCCCCUAUGGGAUGAACUUAUUUCAAAGCAACUUCUUAAGCUACAUUUUUGGUGAAAUGACAUUUGUUGGUAGUUUGUGGUUUUCUUGCUGGUUGCUUCGGAUAUAUUCCUUAACUCUGUAAUUUAUUUUCUCUAUCUGAACAACUUGUCACCUUAGAGUAUCCCUUUCUAGAAAACAUGCUAAUACUGUAAUGUACUUAAUAGGAAGGAGAGAAAUGGAACUCAGGUUAUUGGAUUGGCUAUCAAAGUGCUGAAUUGAAACACUGACCAAGUAAAUUGCAUGAAAUAAUUUGUAUUAUAAACUGUUUUUCAUUGUAGUAAGUGAAAUGUCUGUUGUCUUAACGACUGACAGUCGGAAGAGGUCUUGGUUUGCUCCAGACAUGGAUGUUUGGGGAAGGGUAUUAGGGGAGCAAGUGACUAAGGACCUGAUGGGGUGAUUUCCAGAGGCAGCUGUGUGCCAGAGACUUGGGAACAUGAGGCUCUUUGGUGGGUGCAGAAGCGCAGGAGAGCAACGUGGAUUUGUGCAUGCCCCCUGCACAUACCUUCUAGGCUUAGCAUUCCUCUGGCCUCUGUCGGUUCAACAUGUGGUUGAACACAGCAAACAGGAACAUCUUUUGGCUGUGGCACAAUAUUGUACUUACUGUAAAAAAGAUAGCAUUUCCUGAAUUUCUUUUGUGGGAAGUGUUAAAAAAUACAGAUAGGAUGUAUUUUUUUCCCCCUUACUGUGAAAUAGCUGAAGUUCAUCUCUCUUUCUCUCUCUCUCUUUUUCUCUUUCUCUUUCCUCUCUGUUUCUAAGGUGAAGAUAAACCUCAACUUCCAGGAAGGGAAAAAUUUAAUUAACUUAAAUAUGGGCUCAAAGGUCCAUGCCAAAACAAUGUGAUCAAUACAUAGGUUAAAAUUGUCCUAAAGAGGACUAUGGAAUGGAUUGCAACAUGGUUCAGGUCAGAUGACUUCUGGGAUUACUAGCCUGGUAGUCCAAAAAGACAUUGCAUGCUGUGAGGGAAAUAAAAACAAUAAUGCGAAAACAACGUUAAGGAUCUACUCCAAGUAUGGCCCACAAAACACUCUUGAGCUGCUUGCUGUUGCGCCCCUGUGCGUUUCAUCCCUCCUGCUCUCUUCGUCAACCCUACAGCAUGUGGGGUGUGAAAUCACUUGAGAAACUGUUUCCACUGGUUUGCUAUGAGAAUUUCAUAGUUUGACCCCUGAAAAUGAAGGGAAUUAGAAUUGAUAGGAGGGAUGAUUUGGUGCCCAAAGUGGUGAAUUGGUGCCAGAAGGUCACCUGAGUAAGAAAUGCCUUUGCCUGGUGGCUACGUAAGUUAGAAAUAAGUGAGCUGAAAAUUAAAGUAAAAAAGGUUAAUUUCUAUGAGAAUAUCAGUUGGACAGACAGCAAUUAGAUAAGGUACAAUCUAAGAAGUAAAGCAGGAGAGAGAGUUUACUUAAUAACUAAAUAUUUACUUUUAUCUCUUUCACUCACUUGUAAACCAAGAUAAGCCUGUUUGUUUUCUAUAUAAGAGUUAAUGCUCUAUGAUUAAUUAUAUUCAUUAUUCC